UUAACUCUAAUUUGUAUGGAGUUGGAACGUUUGCCUACGUUUGCCGCUAGGGGCGCUGCCCCAACUCCAUACAAAUUUGAGUUA
rfam:Bombyx mori DNA, contig: Bm_scaf12_contig9911, strain: p50T/Dazao, build 2, whole genome shotgun sequence.